AUCUCUCUUCUCCCCAUUUUACAGAUGAGGAAGCAGAAGGGAUGAAGAGCAGGAGGCCAGGGCACACCUCCUCCACACCCUGCUUCCUAACCAGUAGAGACACGGCCUUCCAGACCCACCGGACCCCAGUCACAGCAUCCACACUCCACCCCGAUACCUCCAUGACCGACCGAUCGGCAGCAGGUUGGGGGACGGACGGACGGAGUCCCAGGCCGCCGUUCUCCCCAGGCCACGAAUGCGAGACCCACAUGACCAAACCUAGCUACUCUAGGGGGGACAAAAUGAGCACGGCAGAGCGAGACACCCCGAAGGAAAACAUCCCCCGUGAACGGUACCCAUAAAUUCAUCCACGUUAUCAUAAAUGAGACUCCAAAAUGAUGCGAUCGUAAAAAUGAAAUAAGCCAGGAGUGGAUUUUUCCUACCAUUGGUUUUAUGUGUAGAUUUUCAAUGCCAACAUGUUAACUCUCUUUAACAGCCUCUGCACUCUUGGCGAGGGGUGUGGGGGGGGGUCCCUCCUCUGGAACUAUAAAAGCCUUUUGAAUAACUC